rnacentral:rRNA from 1 species
CUGAGAGGAUGAACGGCCACACUGGAACUGAGACACGGUCCAGACUCCUACGGGAGGCAGCAGUGGGGAAAUCUUCCGCAAUGGGCGAAAGCCUGUCGGAGCAACGCCGCGUGAGUGAUGACGGCCUUUCGGGUUGUAAAACUCUGUGAUCCGGGACGAAAAGGCAGAGUGCGAAGAACAAACUGCAUUGACGGUACCGAAAAGC